UCGAGGGGCAGCAUGGUCUUAGCUUGCUAAGGCUCGAUGGCGACCGGCGCACGGGUGAGUAACACGUAUCCAACCUGCCGUCUACUCUUGGACAGCCUUCUGAAAGGAAGAUUAAUACAAGAUGGCAUCAUGAGUCCGCAUGUUCACAUGAUUAAAGGUAUUCCGGUAGACGAUGGGGAUGCGUUCCAUUAGAUAGUAGGCGGGGUAACGGCCCACCUAGUCUUCGAUGGAUAGGGGUUCUGAGAGGAAGGUCCCCCACAUUGGAACUGAGACACGGUCCAAACUCCUACGGGAGGCAGCAGUGAGGAAUAUUGGUCAAUGGGCGAGAGCCUGAACCAGCCAAGUAGCGUGAAGGAUGACUGCCCUAUGGGUUGUAAACUUCUUUUAUAAAGGAAUAAAGUCGGGUAUGGAUACCCGUUUGCAUGUACUUUAUGAAUAAGGAUCGGCUAACUCCGUGCCAGCAGCCGCGGUAAUACGGAGGAUCCGAGCGUUAUCCGGAUUUAUUGGGUUUAAAGGGAGCGUAGAUGGAUGUUUAAGUCAGUUGUGAAAGUUUGCGGCUCAACCGUAAAAUUGCAGUUGAUACUGGAUAUCUUGAGUGCAGUUGAGGCAGGCGGAAUUCGUGGUGUAGCGGUGAAAUGCUUAGAUAUCACGAAGAACUCCGAUUGCGAAGGCAGCCUGCUAAGCUGCAACUGACAUUGAGGCUCGAAAGUGUGGGUAUCAAACAGGAUUAGAUACCCUGGUAGUCCACACGGUAAACGAUGAAUACUCGCUGUUUGCGAUAUACGGCAAGCGGCCAAGCGAAAGCGUUAAGUAUUCCACCUGGGGAGUACGCCGGCAACGGUGAAACUCAAAGGAAUUGACGGGGGCCCGCACAAGCGGAGGAACAUGUGGUUUAAUUCGAUGAUACGCGAGGAACCUUACCCGGGCUUAAAUUGCAGAUGAAUUACGGUGAAAGCCGUAAGCCGCAAGGCAUC
rnacentral:rRNA from 1 species